UACGUAGGGUGCAAGCGUUGUCCGGAAUUAUUGGGCGUAAAGAGCUCGUAGGCGGUUUGUCGCGUCUGCUGUGAAAACCCGAGGCUCAACCUCGGGCCUGCAGUGGGUACGGGCAGACUAGAGUGCGGUAGGGGAGAUUGGAAUUCCUGGUGUAGCGGUGGAAUGCGCAGAUAUCAGGAGGAACACCGAUGGCGAAGGCAGAUCUCUGGGCCAUUACUGACGCUGAGGAGCGAAAGCGUGGGGAGCGAACAGG
rnacentral:rRNA from 1 species